rnacentral:lncRNA from 1 species
UGUAUGUUGUAGAGUGUUAGAAAGAAAAAAGAUACCAAUUACUUCACUUUCUCCAUAAACCCUAAUUCAAUUAAUCUCUUUUCAUCAAUUUCUAUUUAAAGAGUUCCAUCAGAUCACUUUAAUUUUUCCAAGAAAUAAAGUAAAUAAUUGCUUAAUGGGUUUGCUCAUUGUGGACUUUUUCCUUUAUUGUUGAGUGACUUUAGUAAUGUAGAAGCUUGUAGGGGUCCGAAUUUGCUUCUAGGAUGGAGCAUAUUGAAAUCUCA